rnacentral:rRNA from 1 species
UUAGAAGCUUGCUUCUAUGACGUUAGCGGCGGACGGGUGAGUAACACGUGGGCAACCUGCCUGUAAGACUGGGAUAACUUCGGGAAACCGAAGCUAAUACCGGAUAGGAUCUUCUCCUUCAUGGGAGAUGAUUGAAAGAUGGUUUCGGCUAUCACUUACAGAUGGGCCCGCGGUGCAUUAGCUAGUUGGUGAGGUAACGGCUCACCAAGGCAACGAUGCAUAGCCGACCUGAGAGGGUGAUCGGCCACACUGGGACUGAGACACGGCCCAGACUCCUACGGGAGGCAGCAGUAGGGAAUCUUCCGCAAUGGACGAAAGUCUGACGGAGCAACGCCGCGUGAGUGAUGAAGGCUUUCGGGUCGUAAAACUCUGUUGUUAGGGAAGAACAAGUACAAGAGUAACUGCUUGUACCUUGACGGUACCUAACCAGAAAGCCACGGCUAACUACGUGCCAGCAGCCGCGGUAAUACGUAGGUGGCAAGCGUUAUCCGGAAUUAUUGGGCGUAAAGCGCGCGCAGGCGGUUUCUUAAGUCUGAUGUGAAAGCCCACGGCUCAACCGUGGAGGGUCAUUGGAAACUGGGGAACUUGAGUGCAGAAGAGAAAAGCGGAAUUCCACGUGUAGCGGUGAAAUGCGUAGAGAUGUGGAGGAACACCAGUGGCGAAGGCGGCUUUUUGGUCUGUAACUGACGCUGAGGCGCGAAA